rnacentral:rRNA from 1 species
UACAGAGGUCUCAAGCGUUGUUCGGAUUCAUUGGGCGUAAAGGGUGCGUAGGCGGCGCGGUAAGUCGGGUGUGAAAUCUCGGAGCUUAACUCCGAAACUGCAUUCGAUACUGCCGUGCUUGAGGACUGGAGAGGAGAUUGGAAUUUACGGUGUAGCAGUGAAAUGCGUAGAUAUCGUAAGGAAGACCAGUGGCGAAGGCGAAUCUCUGGACAGUUACUGACACUGAGGCACGAAGGCCAGGGGAGCAAACGGG